CCGACCCCAAGUAUACAUUGCUCAAAAACCAUGUCUCUGGAAUUCUUGAGAGGGUCGACCCCACUGUAGCUUGAGUCGACCCUACUGUAGCUUGAGUCGACCCUAAGAAAGGUUGAGUCGACCCUAGUGAAAGAAGCUGAAAAUACAAGUUUCUGUGGUUACUGAGAGGGUCGACCCUAGAGGAAGUUGAGUCGACCCCAAGCCCAAUACACAGUAAGUUGAGUCGACCCUAGUAAAGUUUGGGUCGACCCCAGCACGAGCAAGGGCAUAACGGCUAGUUCUGCAGAAGUACCUUUUGACCUCCCAACAGCUAGUAAAGGCUAGUUUUUAAAAUCUAACCAAUAGGGGGUGACCAAUAGAUAAGGAAAAGUAUUUAAAGUGACACUAUUCAUCAGAGGAAUAUACACUUUUGCAAAAAGAUCAAAGCUCAUUCAAGAAAGAAAAAGUCCUAACAUUCUUCAUUCAAGUGCUUCAUUCAAAGAGCCAAAAGGAAGUGGUUGAGCAGAUUCUGAGAGACAUUAAGAGCUCCACCAAUCCUUGAAGAGUGAAGAAAUCUUAACAAAGAAGAGAAAAGUCUUAUCAAAGCGAUAACUAU
rnacentral:lncRNA from 1 species